rnacentral:lncRNA from 1 species
UGACUAUGAUGUCAUCGAAUGCUGCCAACAACAGUGCUGUUAUAUCACAAAUGAAAAGGUCUUCAAACGAACUGAGGGACCCCAUUAUGCCAAGACUGGAGCUUGUCAUAAAAAUCAUCAGUCAUUGAUGUCUGUGAGCUUCUGAGUUGGGCCUUGAGGGAAAAGAACUGUGAAAUUUGGGUUCAAUUUAGUUGUUUUGAUCUGGACUUCUUUAUGAGUAGGGAGAAUUAAAUUGGCCACAUGUGACCUUGUAUUUAGAGGAAAUCAAAUCACUCAAACAAGAUAAUUUAGCUCCUUGCUCAACAAUUCCUCCUUUUCUCUUCAACUCCAGGGUUAUUGAUUGAGGUCCUGCCUGAAUACAUUUUACUAGAGUUUAGAGAAUUGUAAUAGUUGCAUUGUUUCUCUGGUUACAACCUCAAAAUGCACUGCAGAUUUCUUCAACUGAAAUUGCUCCAAUGUUAAUAUGUUGUGGGAAUGAAAGACUGAUUUCAGCACUUAAGCUACACCACCAGAGGAAACAGCAGUGAGGAGAAACCAAGCGCGAUCAUGGGACAAGAGGUCUUUUCUUCCUGUCUUCAUCUGCUGAUCUGCUCACCUGAUAUUCACUGAGCACCAAGUUUAUGCCAGGCUGAAGUCCUGGCUGGAAUGCUUCUUGUAUCAUAUCAUUGGAGAUUGGAAGAAUUGAGAUGUUUCUUGCUGUGGUUGUCCAACCCAGCUCUAGUUUGUCAGCCAGUAUUCUGCAUGCACAAAAGUAGUGUUUAAUCUAAGAAGACUCGAGGCAAGAGAUGUCAGCUUAAUUUUGUGUAAAUAGUCUGGAAACAUGAUUUUCAUCACAGCAAGCAAAACUUGUAUAGACAUGUUUGUAAGAGGAUAUUUAUACACCACCCCAGGAUGCUCUUUCUCAACUGACAUCACCUGCAUUUAGUCCAUUUCAGUUCUUCCAUGGCUUUAUGUUUUCAAAUCAACCUGCCUGGACUCAAAAGCAGACAAAACCCAGAAGUAAACAGCAGAUAGAGAUGGAAAAAGCUCCAGAAGAAUUUCUCUCCUACAGAUUUAAGAGGAGAAAAUGAGACUCCUAAGUGUCAUAAAGAAUGUGUGUAGGUGGGAUAUCCUCUUUUUUUCUUCUGUUCUUUCCCAUCCAGCCCCAAGACAAUAAUAUGAUGGCAUGGUAGAGGUGAAGAUAAUGGGAGC